GACCUUGUGGUGCAGUGGUAGUGUGUCUGACUCCCAGUCAUAGGGUUGUGUGUUCAAAUCACAUCAGGGUCA
rnacentral:tRNA from 1 species